rnacentral:rRNA from 1 species
UACGGAGGGUGCGAGCGUUGUCCGGAAUCACUGGGCGUAAAGGGCGCGUAGGCGGCUUCUCAAGCGUGUGGUGAAAGUCCGGGGCUCAACCCCGGAUCGGCCGUGCGGACUGGGGAGCUCGAGUUCUGUAGAGGCGGGUGGAAUUCCGGGUGUAGCGGUGGAAUGCGUAGAGAUCCGGAAGAACACCGGUGGCGAAGGCGGGUCUCUGGGCAACAACUGACGCUGAGGAGCGAAAGCGUGGGGAGCGAACAGG